CAUUUCUACAGCCAUGCCACCCCGAACGUGCCUGAUCUCGUCUGAUCUCAGAAGCUAAGCAGAGUCGGGCCUGGUUAGUACUUGGAUGGGG
rnacentral:miRNA from 1 species